rnacentral:rRNA from 1 species
AACGAACGCUGGCGGCGUGGAUAAGACAUGCAAGUCGAGCGCUGAUCACAGGGUAGCAAUAUUCUGUGGUUGGAGCGGCGCAAGGGUGCGUAACACGUGGGUAAUCUGCCGUGAAGUUUGGGAUAACUUGCUGAAAGGCGAGCUAAUACCGGAUGUGAAACUUGGAAGGCAUCUUCUGAUUUUCAAAGCUGGGGACCGUAAGGCCUGGCGCUUCAUGAUGAGCCCGCGGCCUAUCAGCUAGUUGGUAAGGUAACGGCUUACCAAGGCUAAGACGGGUAGCUGGUCUGAGAGGACGACCAGCCACACUGGAACUGAGACACGGUCCAGACACCUACGGGUGGCAGCAGUCGAGAAUUUUUCACAAUGGGCGCAAGCCUGAUGGAGCGACGCCGCGUGGGGAUGAAUGGCUUCGGCCCGUAAACCCCUGUCAUUUGCGAACAAAUUGCUCAACCUAACACGUGGAGCAUUGAUAGUAGCG